UGGGGAAUAUUGGACAAUGGGCGCAAGCCUGAUCCAGCCAUGCCGCGUGAGUGAUGAAGGCCCUAGGGUUGUAAAGCUCUUUCACCGGUGAAGAUAAUGACGGUAACCGGAGAAGAAGCCCCGGCUAACUUCGUGCCAGCAGCCGCGGUAAUACGUAGGGCGCGAGCGUUGUCCGGAAUUAUUGGGCGUAAAGAGCUCGUAGGCGGUUUGUCGCGUCUGCUGUGAAAGACCGGGGCUUAACUCCGGGGCUGCAGUGGGUACGGGCAGGCUGGAGUGCGGUAGGGGUAACCGGAAUUCCUGGUGUAGCGGUGGAAUGCGCAGAUAUCAGGAGGAACACCGAUGGCGAAGGCAGGUUACUGGGCCGUUACUGACGCUGAGGAGCGAAAGCAUGGGGAGCGAACAGG
rnacentral:rRNA from 1 species